UUCUUUAUUAGAAAUUUAGGAUA
rnacentral:snRNA from 1 species